UAAAUGCAAACGUAUUAUGUGACGGAACUACCCAAAUAUCACUCGAAUUUUUAAUUAUUGUAAAGUUAAAUUACAAUUUUAGCUUACUUCCGUAACCGUUUGACUGUUGUUUAUUGCGGUAAUUUGGGUGAACUUUUUUGCAUUUGUUUUCAUACUAUUAUGAUUAGACUACUUUUAUCUAGAAUUUUGAAAUUAUGAGAAAUGUGUAUAAAAAUUCAUUUCCUUCUAAGUGUCGUGGUUGAAUUCCAUCCCUUAAUUUAAAGGAGCAAGUACUUGUCAAUAUAUCUUUAACAGAACGUAUUGGUAACGUAAUUGUUAACUGUGUAGGUUAUCCCUGUUCAACUAUUACUGGGCCCCAAUUAUGGUGCCACAUGGGCAAUUUGAGCUUGCUGAAAAGAUUUUUUCUUUAAAGCGUAUGUACCAAGCAUUAUUACAUACAUUUAAACAUUUAAAUGAAGGGUUUGUCGUUUAAUCCUGAAUUCUUGGAACAGAAUAUAAUGAAUACUACUUGAUUCCAACAUAAAUAACUGCAAAAAGGAUUAUUACUGAGUUUUAUUGGAAUGAUUCGUUGUUAUAAAGCGUGUGUUAAGUACCAUCAGCUGAUUCUUGGCAAACAAAAAGUUUACAAUGCUUGCAACUUGAGGGUUGCUUUGAAAGGAUGGUUAUUUUACAAGUAAUAUCAGGUGGAAUUGGAUUUGAAUCACGAACAAGAACAAUUUUGGUACCCUAAGGAAAUUUCAAUCUAUGCUUUGAUGACUGGGGAUUUAACAACACUUCCAUGUUUUACGUAUUUAUUUAACAGGUACCUGCUGAUAAGGAUAAGUCCAGAAAGAAUGAGAAGUAAGAAUUAUGGAGCUUAUGUAAGAGAAACUAGAAGAAAUUCGUUUUCAAAUGCAUCAGUAUACGAUAGGAUUGAGAUGUAAAAUAAUCUUAAUUAGUAUCUAAGCUGAAUAAGUGUCUCUAAGUCUAGGUUUUAUUUGUUUUUACUUGUAAAUUGUCAAUACUUGUAAUGCGUAAGCUAUAGUACUCUUAGUUCAAAUACCUUUUAUGAAAAUUAUUAUUUGUUGUAAUAACAAUUACAUACAUAGAAUACUUUGUAUUAUUUUAUCCAAAUGUAAAAUUAUAUUGAUAUGUAC